UACGAAGGGGGCUAGCGUUGCUCGGAAUCACUGGGCGUAAAGGGAGCGUAGGCGGAUCGUUAAGUUAGAGGUGAAAGCCCAGGGCUCAACCCUGGAAUUGCCUUUAAAACUGGCGGUCUUGAGUAUGGUAGAGGUGUGUGGAACUCCGAGUGUAGAGGUGAAAUUCGUAGAUAUUCGGAAGAACACCAGUGGCGAAGGCGACACACUGGACCAUUACUGACGCUGAGGCUCGAAAGCGUGGGGAGCAAACAGG
rnacentral:rRNA from 1 species